UAAUACGGAGGGUGCAAGCGUUAUCCGGAUUCACUGGGUUUAAAGGGUGCGUAGGUGGGUUGAUAAGUCAGUGGUGAAAUCUCCGAGCUUAACUUGGAAACUGCCAUUGAUACUAUCAGUCUUGAAUACCGUGGAGGUUAGCGGAAUAUGUCAUGUAGCGGUGAAAUGCUUAGAUAUGACAUAGAACACCCAUUGCGAAGGCAGCUGACUACGCGGAGAUUGACACUGAGGCACGAAAGCGUGGGGAUCAAACAGGAUUAGAUACCCUGGUAGUCCACGCCCUAAACGAUGAUCACUCGACAUACGCGAUACACAGUGUGUGUCUAAGCGAAAGCAUUAAGUGAUCCACCUGGGAAGUACGAUCGCAAGAUUG
rnacentral:rRNA from 1 species